CAUCGUGAGGUAGCAAUACCUUGAUGGCGACCGGCGCACGGGUGAGUAACGCGUAUGCAACCUGCCCGAUACCGGGGUAUAGCCCAUGGAAACGUGGAUUAACACCCCAUAGUACUUUUAUCCUGCAUGGGAUGUGAGUUAAAUGUUUAAGGUAUCGGAUGGGCAUGCGUCCUAUUAGUUAGUUGGCGGGGUAACAGCCCACCAAGACGAUGAUAGGUAGGGGUUCUGAGAGGAAGGUCCCCCACAUUGGAACUGAGACACGGUCCAAACUCCUACGGGAGGCAGCAGUGAGGAAUAUUGGUCAAUGGACGAGAGUCUGAACCAGCCAAGUCGCGUGAGGGAAGACUGCCCUAUGGGUUGUAAACCUCUUUUAUAAGGGAAGAAUAAGUUCUACGUGUAGAAUGAUGCCUGUACCUUAUGAAUAAGCAUCGGCUAACUCCGUGCCAGCAGCCGCGGUAAUACGGAGGAUGCGAGCGUUAUCCGGAUUUAUUGGGUUUAAAGGGUGCGUAGGCGGUUUAUUAAGUUAGUGGUUAAAUAUUUGAGCUAAACUCAAUUGUGCCAUUAAUACUGGUAAACUGGAGUACAGACGAGGUAGGCGGAAUAAGUUAAGUAGCGGUGAAAUGCAUAGAUAUAACUUAGAACUCCGAUAGCGAAGGCAGCUUACCAGACUGUAACUGACG
rnacentral:rRNA from 1 species